rnacentral:rRNA from 1 species
CCUACGGGAGGCAGCAGUCGAGAAUCAUUCACAAUGGGGGCAACCCUGAUGGUGCGACGCCGCGUGGGGGAAUGAAGGUCUUCGGAUUGUAAACCCCUGUCAUGUGGGAGCAAAUUAAAAAGAUAGUACCACAAGAGGAAGAGACGGCUAACUCUGUGCCAGCAGCCGCGGUAAUACAGAGGACUCAAGCGUUGUUCGGAAUCACUGGGCGUAAAGCGUGCGUAGGCUGUUUCGUAAGUCGGGUGUGAAAGGCGCGGGCUCAACCCGCGGACGGCACAUGAAACUGGGAGACUAGAGUAAUGGAGAGGGAAGCGGAAUUCGCGGUGUAGCAGUGAAAUGCGUAGAUAUCGAGAGGAACACUCGUGGCGAAGGCGGGUUCCUAGACAUUAACUGACGCUGAGGCACGAAGGCCAGGGGAGCGAAAGGGAUUAGAUACCCCUGUAGUC